AGCCGCCUGUCUGGAGACUCUGGUGCCGCCCUUCCCCCCACCCAGUGAUAGUUGGGCUGGGGAUAGAACUCCAGCUGGAGCUCUGCACCCCAGAACUUUGCUGGACGCCCUCCCUUUAAAGCCGAUGCUUUGCUGGUGCUUACAGGGCUGGUGUGGGGGCUGCACCGCUGCUGGGGCGUCGAUUCUGUGCGGGCCACCUGGGCUUUGUCUUUCUGGCAGCCCGUAGGACCCGCUGUAUCUCCGGCUUCUGAUAAUCCACCGAGCUGUUCUCCAGCUCCGGGAAAGCCUGUGGUUUCCUGACCUCCCCUGUCUCUGUUCUCUCUGGAACCCCAGGUAGCCAGGUGUCUCGCUUCCUGGAGGGACCCCUCACUUCCUCGUCUCUCCCCUCCUUCGUCACCUCUGUGUAUCUUCCUGUCGCUGUUUCGGGGAGGUCUCCCUGUGUCACCAUUCCACCCUUCUCAUAGAGUGGUACAUAAAUUUUUAAUUUCAGAGAUUCCUUUUUAUUUGCUGAAUGUUCUCUUUAAAACAUGCUGUACCCUGUUCUUGUUUCAGGGAUACUAUAUUUUAUUUCUGCGAAGAUAGUAAUAGCUCUCUCUCUUUUUUUCUGUUCAGGCUUCCUUCUGUCUGCACUGCCUGUUUCCUUGUUGGCUGGCUUGUUUGGGACUCUGUCUUUCCUGUUAGAGCUCUCCUCAGUUAAUUCACUCGGCAGAAAUUUAUGGAGUGCCUGCGGUGUGCCAGCCCUGUUCUGCAGCCUUGAACAAAAUGGUCGGAAGUCCCUGAGCUGGUCUGGCGAUGUCUGGGGAUGGUCAGAUGGUUCUGACCCUUGAUGCCGCCGCUCCACCCACGUCAGAGGGCCCGAACGGGGGCCCGGAGGUGGAUCUGGCCCACAGACGUGUGUGAGCGCGAGCUCGGGGGAGAGCACGUGCGUGUGUGCAGGUGUGAGCACAGGUGCGGGUCUCGGUACGUGUAUGUGGCCCAGCGUGUCCGUGUGAGAGCGUGAGAGGCGCCCGUGUGCCUGUGGGCUCAGUGUGCACGUGUGCGUGAGAAUAUGAGCGUACAUGUACGAUAGGAGCGUCCGGGUGCGUGCGUGUGUCCAUUCGCGACAGGAUUCGUAGUCCUUAGAUUCCGGAAAGGUUGGGAGGUGUGCCACGAAAACCAGGCGCCGUGCACCUCUUGGAAAGUCAGAAGCCCGGACCCCGCGCCCCGCGAGGAGCUCCAGGUGGACACGGGCAGCGGCAGCUCCCGCUGGUCUCGCCUUCACACCCCCUCCCCGUUUAUAUUACAGUCUGACUCGGGAUGGGGGGGCAGAGGGAGUAGCAUGUGCAAAGGCCCUGUGGUGAGUUUUCAACCCCUGGUCUCGGGGAGGCACCCCGUGACUCCGUCAGGGCUGGCAGGAUGGUCUUGUAUGGAGAAGGGGGUUUAGGCCCCAGAGAAGGCGGGGGAUGUCUCAGGUGACCGCUGUCCCCUUCUCCUGAAAGGACUGAGCACACGUGGGGUCACGGAGGCCCCGAGUCGGGGUGCCCUAGGUGCUGGAAGGAGACUGUGGGGUUCCCCAGUAUGUUCGCAGCCCCGAGGGGCUCAGACAAGGCGGCGGGGGUGGGGGGCGACUCUCCCAACAAGGCAGAGAGGAGGGGCCGUAGGAGACGCUGCAGCAACCCGUCCCUGUACCCGAAGCCCCGGCUCUCUGCUGGACGCCCGUCCCCAGGUCUUUGUCGCUGCCACCCUCUUGGCCAUGCUAAGGCCCCGGGGCUGAAACUGGAGGGUCCCCACCACCCACCAGAGGAAGCCACGCUGCUGGCUCCCUAGACCCCUGGCCCUUCCUCAUGGGAACGCCGCGGACCAGCC
rnacentral:lncRNA from 1 species